rnacentral:rRNA from 1 species
UACGGGGGGGAGCAAGCGUUGUUCGGAUUUACUGGGCGUAAAGGGCGCGUAGGCGGUCGUGACAAGUCACUUGUGAAAUCUCCGGGCUUAACUCGGAACGGUCAAGUGAUACUGUCGGACUAGAGUACAGAAGGGGCAACUGGAAUUCUCGGUGUAGCGGUGAAACGCGUAGAUAUCGAGAGGAACACCUGCGGCGAAGGCGGGUUGCUGGGCUGAUACUGACGCUGAUGCGCGAAAGCUAGGGGAGCGAACGGG